UUCAUAAUAACUUAACGAAUCGCAUGGCCUUGCGCCGGCGAUGGUUCAUUCAAAUUUCUGCCCUAUCAACUUUCGAUUGUAGGGUAUUGGGGCCUACAAUGGUUUCUACGGGUAACGGGGAAUUAGGGUUGUACUAUUCCGGAGAGGGAGCCUGAGAAACGGCUACCACAUCCAAGGAAGGCAGCAGGCGCGCAAAUUACCCAAUCCUAAUUCAGGGAGGUAGUGACAAGAAAUACUGGAUGCAGAGCCCAUUCGGGUUUUGCAAUUGGAAUGAGUACAAUUUAAAUCCCUUGACAAAUCCGUGUAACGAGGAACAAUUGGAGGGCAAGUCUGGUGGCCAGCAGCCGCGGUAAUUCCAGCUCCAAUAGCGUAUAUUAAAGUUGUUGCAGUUAAAAAGCUCGUAGUUGAAACUUGGGUCUGGCUGACCGGUCCGCCUCACCGCGUGCACUGGCUCGGCCGGGCCUUUCCUUCUGGGGAGCCGCAUGCCCUUCAGUGGGUGUGCUGGGGAACCAGGACUUUUACUUUGAAAAAAUUAGAGUGUUCAAAGCAGGCAUAUGCUCGAAUACAUUAGCAUGGAAUAAUAGAAUAGGACGUGUGGUCCUAUUUUGUUGGUUUCUAGGACCGCCGUAAUGAUUAAUAGGGAUAGUCGGGGGCGUCCAGUAUUUUUAAGCAAGAGGUGAAAUUCUUGGAUUUUAAAAAGACAAACUACUGCGAAAGCAUUCGCCAAGGAUGUUUUCAUUAAUCAGUGAACGAAAGUUAGGGGAUCGAAGACGAUUCACGCAGAUACCGUCGUAGUCUUAACCAUAAACUAUGCCGACUAGGGAUCGGACGGUGUUAUUAUUUUGACCCGUUCGGCACCUUACGAGAAAUCAAAGUUUUUGGGUUCUGGGGGGGAGUAUGGUCGCAAGGCUGAAACUUAAAGACAUUGACGGAAGGGCACCACCAGGGAGCCUGCGGCUUAAUUUGACUCAACACGGGGAAACUCACCAGGUCCAGACAAAAUAAGGAUUGACAGAUUGAGAGCUCUUUCUUGAUUUUUUGGGUGUUGUUGCGGGUGGUGCAUGGCCGUUCUUAGUUGGUGGUGGAGUGAUUUGUCUGCUUAAUUGCGAUAACGAACGAGACCUUAACCUGCUAAAUAGCCCGGUCAGCUUUGGCUGGCCGCUGGCUUCUUAGAGGGACUAUCGGCUCAAGCCGAUGGAAGUUUGAGGCAAUAACAGGUCUAGAUGUUCUGGGCCGCACGCCUUGGCCGGAAGGUCUGGGUAAUCUUGUUAAACUCUGUCGUGCUGGGGAUAGAGCAUUGCAAUUAUUGCUCUUCAACGAGGAAUGCCUAGUAAGCGCAAGUCAUCAGCUUGCGUUGAUUACGUCCCUGCCCUUUUUGUACACACCGCCCGUCGCUACUACCGAUUGAAUGGCUCAGUGAGGCCUUCGGACUGGCCCAGACGGGGCGGCAACGCUCUAUCAGGGCCGGAAAGUUGGUCAAACUUGGUCAUUUAGAGGAAGUAAAAGUCGUAACAAGGUUUCCGUAGGUGGAACCUGCGGAAGGAUCAUUA
rnacentral:rRNA from 1 species